rnacentral:rRNA from 1 species
CAGGCCUAACACAUGCAAGUCGAGCGGGCACUUCGGUGUCAGCGGCGGACGGGUGAGUAACGCGUGGGAACGUGCCUUCUGGUUCGGAAUAACUCAGGGAAACUUGAGCUAAUACCGGAUACGCCCUUAUGGGGAAAGGCUUGACUGCCGAAGGAUCGGCCCGCGUCUGAUUAGCUAGUUGGUGAGGUUAUGGCUCACCAAGGCGACGAUCAGUAGCUGGUCUGAGAGGAUGAUCAGCCACACUGGGACUGAGACACGGCCCAGACUCCUACGGGAGGCAGCAGUGGGGAAUAUUGGACAAUGGGGGCAACCCUGAUCCAGCCAUGCCGCGUGAGUGAUGACGGCCUUAGGGUUGUAAAGCUCUUUUCUCCGGGACGAUAAUGACGGUACCGGAGGAAUAAGCCCCGGCUAACUUCGUGCCAGCAGCCGCGGUAA